rnacentral:sRNA from 1 species
AGCAAAAAGUUGGGAGAAGAUCAGGUUAGCUGCUGUGACUAUAAAAUAUUAACACUGUGCUUGAAAUCAAACUGAAUUCAGCAGUGUUUUUUUAAAGCUUCAUUUUGAUCACCACAGCCCCAGACAGGGAGUGAGUGAGGCAAGUGGAAAGAAGUGUGUUCUCCACACAGGCAUCAGAUCUACUCAGGAAAAUGUGCGUGAGGAACUUGGUGCAGAAAUACUGCCGCGGGAUCACAGCUGAGCGGAAAGCGAUGAUGCAGCAAAAGGUAGUUACAAGUGAAAUCUUCAGGGGAAGGAAAGACGGCUACACAGAAAGUUUAAAUCAACCCUUUGUCAACAGUCGGAUAGAUGAAGGAGACAUUAAUCCGAAAGUGCUUCAGCUAAUUAGCCAUGAGAAAAUCCAGUAUGGUGUCCCGGUCAUUAAAUAUGACAGAAAAGGCUUCAAAGCACGGCAGCGGCAACUCAUUCUUACUCAGAAAGCAGCUUACGUGGUGGAACUUGCCAAAAUCAAGCAGAAAAUAGAGUACUCAGCUCUCAAAGGUAAGAAGUGGGCAAUCUUA